rfam:Actinospica robiniae DSM 44927 genomic scaffold ActroDRAFT_ARA.1, whole genome shotgun sequence.
GUGUAAGUGUUUAAGGGCGCACGGUGGAUGCCUUGGUACCAGGAGCCGAUGAAGGACGUGUCUGGCCGCGAUAGGCCCCGGGGAGCCGCCGAGAGGGCUUUGAUCCGGGGGUGUCCGAAUGGGGGAACCCGGCACCCGUCAUGGGGUGUCACCCUCGCCUGAAUGUAUAGGGCGAGUGGAGGGAACCCGGGGAAGUGAAACAUCUCAGUACCCGGUGGAAGAGAAAACAACAUGUGAUUCCGUGAGUAGUGGCGAGCGAAAGCGGAUCUAGCCUAAACCUUGUGCGUGUGAUACCCGGCAGGGGUUGCGUGUGAGGGGUUGUGGGACGUGCCUGGAUCGUCUGCCGGCGAUCCGACGAGUAAGAAACCUGUGGUGUAGUCGAACGGCAUGCGAGUGGCCGACCGUAGUGGGUGAGAGUCCCGUAGACGACAUGCUGCAGGCUCGUGGCGCUGUUCCCGAGUAGCGCGGGGCCCGUGAAAUCCCGUGUGAAUCUGCCAGGACCACCUGGUAAGGCUGAAUACUUCCUGGUGACCGAUAGUGCACGAGUACCGUGAGGGAAGGGUGAAAAGUACCCCGGGAGGGGAGUGAAAGAGUUCCUGAAACCGUGUGCCUACAAUCCGUCGGAGCGUCGUCUCACCGGUAGCGGUGGGGCCGUGACGGCGUGCCUUUUGAAGAAUGAGCCUGCGAGUUAGUGGCGCGUGGCGAGGUUAACCCGGGUGGGGUAGCCGUAGCGAAAGCGAGUCCGAUAAGGGCGUUUAUAGUCGCGCGUUCUAGACCCGAAGCGGAGUGAUCUAGCCAUGGGCAGGGUGAAGCGCCGGUAAGACGGUGUGGAGGCCCGAACCCACCAGGGUUGAAAACCUGGGGGAUGACCUGUGGUUAGGGGUGAAAGGCCAAUCAAACUCCGUGAUAGCUGGUUCUCCCCGAAAUGCAUUUAGGUGCAGCGUUGCGUGUGCGUGCCGGAGGUAGGGCGCUGGAUGGCCGAUGGGCCCGACCAGGUUACUGACGUCAGCCAAACUUCGAAUGCCGGUACGUUGAGCGUGGCAGUGAGACUGUGGGGGAUAAGCUCCAUGGUCGAGAGGGAAACAGCCCAGAACAUCGACUAAGGCCCCUAAGCGCGUGCUAAGUGGGAAAGGAUGUGGGACCGCGGUGACAACCAGGAGGUUGGCUUAGAAGCAGCCACCCUUGAAAGAGUGCGUAAUAGCUCACUGGUCAAGUGGUUCCGCGCCGACAAUGUAGCGGGGCUCAAGUACGCCGCCGAAGUCGUGUCAAUGCCAUGAGCCCGCCCCGGGUCGUUCCGGGGCCAGGUGUGGUGUUGGGUAGGGGAGCGUCGCAUGUCCGGUGAAGCGGCCCUGUGAGGGAGUCGUGGAGGGCAUGCGAGUGAGAAUGCAGGCAUGAGUAGCGAAUCCACCGUGAGAAUCGGUGGCACCGAAUGACCAAGGGUUCCUGGGCCAGGCUGUUCCGCCCAGGGUGAGUCGGGACCUAAGGCGAGGCCGACAGGCGUAGUCGAUGGACAACGGGUUGAUAUUCCCGUACCCGCUGUGGACCGCAAGGGCCGAGCCCCGUGAUACUAAGCCCGCUGAAUCUUCCGGAAGCCUUCGGGCCAUGGGAGUGGAGGCCGGUGACCUGAUCGGGUAGUAGGCGAGCGAUGGAGUGACGCAGGAAGGUAGUUCAUCCCGGGCGGUGGUCGUCCCGGGCCAAGCAGGUAGGCCGGCUGGUAGGCAAAUCCGCCAGUCAUCAAGGCUGAGAUGUGAUGGGGAGCCCGUAGGGGCGAAGUGGAUGAUCCUAUGCUGUCGAGAAAAGCUUCUAGCGAGGGACACGGCGGCCCGUACCCCAAACCGACACAGGUGGUCAGGUAGAGAAUACCGAGGUGUUCGGGUGAACUGUGGUUAAGGAACUCGGCAAAAUACCCCCGUAACUUCGGGAGAAGGGGGACCCGUGCUGGUGACGAGCUUCGCGCUCCGAGCUGGUGUGGGUCGCAGAGACCAGCGGGAAGCGACUGUUUACUAAAAACACAGGUCCGUGCGAAGCCGCAAGGCGAUGUAUACGGACUGACGCCUGCCCGGUGCUGGAACGUUAAGGGGACCCGUCAGCCUCACGGCGAAGCGGUGAACUGAAGCGCCAGUAAACGGCGGUGGUAACUAUAACCAUCCUAAGGUAGCGAAAUUCCUUGUCGGGUAAGUUCCGACCUGCACGAAUGGCGUAACGACUUCCCGACUGUCUCAACCACAGGCCCGGUGAAAUUGCACUACGAGUAAAGAUGCUCGUUUCGCGCAGCAGGACGGAAAGACCCCAGGACCUUUACUAUAGCUUGAUAUUGGUGUCCGGGGCGGCUUGUGUAGGAUAGGUGGGAGACUGUGAAGUCGUGGCGCCAGCCAUGGUGGAGUCGUUGUUGAAAUACCACUCUGGCCGUCUCGGGUGUCUAACCCGGGUCCGUGAUCCGGAUCGGGGACAGUGUCUGGUGGGUAGUUUAACUGGGGCGGUUGCCUCCUAAAGAGUAACGGAGGCGCCCAAAGGUUCCCUCAGCCUGGUUGGCAAUCAGGUGGCGAGUGUAAGUGCACAAGGGGGCUUGACUGUGAGACUGACGGGUCGAGCAGGAGCGAAAGCUGGGACUAGUGAUCCGGCGGUGGCUGGUGGAAGCGCCGUCGCUCAACGGAUAAAAGGUACCCUGGGGAUAACAGGCUGAUCUUGCCCAAGAGUCCAUAUCGACGGCAUGGUUUGGCACCUCGAUGUCGGCUCGUCGCAUCCUGGGGCUGGAGUAGGUCCCAAGGGUUGGGCUGUUCGCCCAUUAAAGCGGUACGCGAGCUGGGUUUAGAACGUCGUGAGACAGUUCGGUCCCUAUCCGCUGCGCGCGUUGGAGGAUUGAGAAGGGCUGUCCCUAGUACGAGAGGACCGGGAUGGACGGACCUCUGGUGUGCCAGUUGUCCCGCCAGGGGCAUGGCUGGUUGGCUACGUUCGGAAGGGAUAACCGCUGAAAGCAUCUAAGCGGGAAGCCUGCUUCGAGAUGAGUCCUCCCACCACCUUGAGUGGGUAAGGCCCCCUAGAGACCAUGGGGUUGAUAGGCCGGACAUGGAAGCGCCGUGAGGUGUGGAGUGGACCGGUACUAAUAGGCCGAGGGCUUACACAC